rnacentral:rRNA from 1 species
GACGAACGCUGGCGGCGUGCUUAACACAUGCAAGUCGAACGGAAAGGCCCUGCUUUUGUGGGGUGCUCGAGUGGCGAACGGGUGAGUAACACGUGAGUAACCUGCCCUUGACUUUGGGAUAACUUCAGGAAACUGGGGCUAAUACCGGAUAGGAGCUCCUGCUGCAUGGUGGGGGUUGGAAAGUUUCGGCGGUUGGGGAUGGACUCGCGGGUUAUCAGCUGGUUGGUGGGGUAGUGGCUUACCAAGGCUUUGACGGGUAGCCGGCCUGAGAGGUUGACCGGCCACAUGGGGACUGAGAUACGCCCCAGACUGCUACGGGGGGCAGCAGUGGAGAGUAUUGUACAAUGGGCGGAAGCCUGAUGCAGCAACCCCGCGUGCGGGAUGACGGCCUUCGGGUUAUAAACCGCUUUCGCCUGUGACGAAGCGUGAGUGACGGUAAUGGGUAAAGAAGCACCGGCUAACUACGUG